AGCGAACGCUGGCGGCAGGCCUAACACAUGCAAGUCGAACGAACUCUUCGGAGUUAGUGGCGGACGGGUGAGUAACACGUGGGAACGUGCCUUUUGGUUCGGAAUAACUCAGGGAAACUUGUGCUAAUACCGAAUGUGCCCUUCGGGGGAAAGAUUUAUCGCCAUUAGAGCGGCCCGCGUCUGAUUAGCUAGUUGGUGAGGUAACGGCUCACCAAGGCGACGAUCAGUAGCUGGUCUGAGAGGAUGACCAGCCACACUGGGACUGAGACACGGCCCAGACUCCUACGGGAGGCAGCAGUGGGGAAUCUUGCGCAAUGGGCGAAAGCCUGACGCAGCCAUGCCGCGUGAAUGAUGAAGGUCUUAGGAUUGUAAAAUUCUUUCACCGGGGAUGAUAAUGACGGUACCCGGAGAAGAAGCCCCGGCUAACUUCGUG
rnacentral:rRNA from 1 species